GAACUGCGAUAAGUAAUGUGAAUUGCAGAAUUCAGUGAAUCAUCGAGUCUUUGAACGCACAUUGCGCCCCCUGGCAUUCCGGGGGCAUGCCUGUCCGAGCGUCAUUGCUGCCCUUCAAGCCCGGCUUGUGUGUUGGGUCGUCGUCCCCUCCGGGGGACGGGCCCGAAAGGCAGCGGCGGCACCGCGUCCGGUCCUCGAGCGUAUGGGGCUUUGUCACCCGCUCGAUAAGGACCGGCCGGGCGCCAGCCGGCGUCUCCAACCUUUUUUUCUCAGGUUGACCUCGGAUCAGGUAGGGAUACCCGCUGCACUUAAGC
rnacentral:misc_RNA from 1 species